rnacentral:lncRNA from 1 species
GGUUAAUAGGUGAUGUAAAAUACCCUAUGGGUGGGGAUGAGUUGAGAUGUCUUAAUCUAAUUUCUUAUUGAGUUGGAUAUGAAUCAAUAUUUUGUACAUUAUUGAUUUUACUUAAUUCAACCUAAACCAACAGGGCUCAACCAUCACCGCCCCAAAAAGUAGAAUUCACCUAAAUCUUUUUAUUGAGGGUGGGUUCGUUCAAGUUAAUAGAGCAUGGACC